GCCCGGUUGGCGUAGUCUGGUUAGCGUAGGAGCCUGUGGAGCUCUUGGGCGGAGUUCAAAUCUCCGGCCGGGCC
rnacentral:tRNA from 1 species